rnacentral:rRNA from 1 species
CACGUAGGGGGCAAGCGUUGUCCGGAUUUAUUGGGCGUAAAGAGCUCGUAGGUGGUUCGGUAAGUCGGGUGUGAAACCUCCAGGCUCAACCUGGAGACGCCACCUGAUACUGCUGUGACUGGAGUCCGGUAGGGGAGCGUGGAAUUCCUGGUGUGGCGGUGAAAUGCGCAGAUAUCAGGAGGAACACCAGCGGCGAAGGCGGCUCACUGGCCCGGUACUGACGCUGAGGCGCGAAAGCGUGGGGAGCAAACAGG